CGUUCAUGAAGCUAAUGCCCCUUUUCUGGCCCUACCACAGGAUUCCAAGUUUUUUUUCCAGAUGGCUGUGCAGCUUCAGCCCUACCAGCAGGCUGGAGUCCUUAUCCACUCAACAAAAGAGAUGUGUGCUUGACUCUGAAAUGUUAGCAUGGCAUUUCUAAUUAUGACAAUACCGAGAAUCAUGCAACUGGAGAUACACGUGGAGAAGGCAACUUGUCUGGUAAAUAGUGCUAGGUGCUGGGACUAUGGAAACAAAUAUUUCAUUUCUAUGGGCCACGGACUCAUAAUUAAUUUUGAGACAGCAGGAUUUCAAUUGUACUGAUGCCAUCAUAGUUCACGGGAGAGAAAUUCUUCAACUUACUCUGGAGUCAGACUAUAUGUAAUGAAGUUAUUCCCGAGGUGAUUAGUCAUUACAAAUUCAAGUUAUGAUAUGCUUUGGUUGUGUCCCCUCUCACAUCUCAUCUUGAAUUUUAGUUCCCAUAAUCCCCACAUGUCACGGGAGGAACCCAGUGGGAGGUAAUUUAAUCACAGGGGUGGUGAUCCUCAUGCUGUUUUUGUGAUAGUGAGUGAGUUCUCAUGAGAUCUGAUGGUUAAGUACUUUUCCCCCUUUGCUCACCACUUCUCCUUGCUGCUGCCAUUUGAAGAAGGACGUGUUUGCUUCCCCUUCCACCAUGAUUGUAAGUUUUCUGAGGCUUCUAGAGCCAUGCAGAACCGUGAGUCAAUUAAACCUCUUUCCUUUAUAAAUUACCCAGUCUGAGAUAUGUCUUUAUUAGCUGCAUGAGAACGGACUAAUACAAGAUAUAACAACAACAACAAUAAUAAUAAUGUCAAGGUGUUUAUGCAUAUAAUCAGUUGCAGCCACAUCACAUCAAAAGUAAUAAUGACAACUAUUCAGUUAAAAAAAAAAAAAGAAAGAAAGUUCCGAGGAAAAAUGAAAAAGUGCCAGAGUUUCAAUGGAACUGUUGGAAACUUUGUCUCCAAAUUGAUUUAUUUUUCAAUUUGUUGGGGAGGAAAAAAAUACGUUUUCCUUCUACCCAUCAUAGGUUCAUUGGCUGGGGCCCCUGUAACAAAAGACAGAUUAACAAGAGAAAAGCAUACACAUUUAUUUAAUAUUAUUUUUUACAUGACACAGGAGCCUUCAUAAAGAAGUGAAGACUGAAAAAAACAGUUAAACCUGAGUGUUUUUAAAUAGAUUUGAGGAAGUGUUUUAAAUAGAUUUGAGGAAGAAUAGAGAAUCAUGGAAAAGCAUAAGGCAAAAAAAGAAAAAAAAGAGCAGGAAGAAAGAAGGAAGGAAGGAAGGAAGAAAGAGUAUGAGUUAAGGGUAAUAAUAAACUGGGGGAAACUUAGGCCUUUUUGUUCAGAUUCCUCUUGGUGUCCCUGUGAUCUGUGUCUUUGGAGGUAAGGAUGCUCCUUUCCUCCAGGUAUUGAGAAGCCACCUCUCACAUGAAGCCCUAUGACCUUCUCCAGGGGAGAAGUGAAGGAGAAGUCAGAGAUACCUUCCUGCAUAUCUAUUUCACAAAUUCCUUCAACUUAAAAUAUUCCGUAUGUCAAGGUGCCACAUUUUAGGAUAGCACAUCUUGAACUCUGUCAAGUUCUAUUUGUUUUUUUUAAUGUGAUGGAGUUUUUGGUGUGUGUGUGUUUAGUGCUGGGUGAGAAAAAUAUCUUAUAUCCUAAAAUACUAGUUGUAGUUAUGCACAAAUAGUCAUAAACUCAGAAUUUUAAAGUGAAAAAAUAAAUCUUAACCAUCAUUUAGCCUAAUAGUUAUAAUGACAGACCAUCAGAAUUAUCUAGAAUUGCAUGUGUGUAUAAUAUGAUCUUAAAUUGUAUCAUAUAUAUAUGUAUGUAUAGAUGUUGCUGAGUUUCAUUUCUGGAGAGUCAUUGCUAAUUCACGAGGUAUGGAGAAUGACAAUGCAAGGUUUCCUCUAUGAGCAGCCAGGUUGGGAAACCAUUUAUCUUAUAAGUUCUGUAACUUUGCAUGAGGCAACUGAAUCCUGUGUAGAUUGACCAACCUACCAAUUAUCAUACAGCCAUCGGAUACUGUAGUCAGUAAUAAA